rnacentral:rRNA from 1 species
GACGUAGGGUGCAAGCGUUAAUCGGAAUUACUGGGCGUAAAGCGUGCGCAGGCGGCUAUGUAAGACAGGUGUGAAAUCCCCGGGCUCAACCUGGGAACUGCACUUGUGACUGCAUGGCUAGAGUGUGUCAGAGGGAGGUGGAAUUCCGCGUGUAGCAGUGAAAUGCGUAGAGAUGCGGAGGAACACCGAUGGCGAAGGCAGCCUCCUGGGAUAACACUGACGCUCAUGCACGAAAGCGUGGGGAGCAAACAGG